AAAAGACAUAGGCCGUGUGGUGAAAAACGACAAUGAAAAAAAUACUCUAUUUAUUUCCGAACAUAAUAUUGCGUUCCGCAUAUUGCGGUUAGUCGGUUACGAUAUAUUUUCUGCGGUUCCAUCGGAGAACGCAGAAGCAUAUCCCUAUAUAUUAUUUUUCAACUCCAUUCUAUCUAAUAGCAUUAGAUCCAUCUCAAUAUCAAACUAAGUUAUAGAAUAUAAAAUCCCUUAGGACUUGAUCCUGAUCGUUUUUCUUAAGUUCCCAACAGGCAAAAAAGCAAUGCUCCGCGACGCACACAUGCAGAGAGAGUGUAACAAAAAAUUUUAAAAAAAAUUAUAAAAUACUUAACUGAUACAAUUAAAAUCACAGUAUACUAAAAUAAAAAGACUAUAAACCACAGGAAAUUAAGUAUAGAUAAUAUCAAUAAGAUGUAUUUUUAUUCUUUCAUUAAGUNUACUAUUGUAGGUUCUUGUGAUAUUAAUUAUCAUUAUGUAUUGUUAAUAAAUUGACGGUAUAAUGUGUAGAAUUUUGAUUAGUUGAGUGAUAUACAAGUUCUAAAAAUAUUAUAGAUAUUACCAACAUAUAAAUAACAUGCAAAAAUAAUUAACUGUUCAAAAAAAAAGUCUUCUUUGUAACUUUUACAAUACGUGGAAUAUACUAAAAGCCAACUUCAUUGUAUCAUUUAAAUAAUUGAAUCAAACAAAGUUUUGUCUUUUGUAUUUAUAUGCGAUGUGGAGACAUUUGGUUAGAUGUUAUUAUUUUUGGAAAAAAAAACUUUAGAUACCUUUUUGCAGUUUACGAUUUAUUAAUUUAGUGUCUAAUGAUUUUAAUUGAUCACUCUAAGUAUCAUAUGGUUUCUAUUUUUAUUUUUUCAUUACACUCUACGUUAACUUCUUCUUUAAACCCCUCGUGUGCCUCACACAUGCCUCGAUAAAAAAAAUAAAAGACACGAGACCUCUUAAAAAAGACACAGGCCGUGUGGUGAAAAACGACAAUGAAAAAAAUACUCUAUUUAUUUCCGAACAUAAUAUUGCGUUCCGCAUAUUGCGGUUAGUCGGUUACGAUAUAUUUUCUGCGGUUCCAUCGGAGAACGCAGAAGCAUAUCCCUAUAUAUUAUUUUUCAACUCCAUUCUAUCUAAUAGCAUUAGAUCCACCUCAAUAUCAAACUAAGUUAUAGAAUAUAAAAUCCCUUA
rnacentral:lncRNA from 1 species